UAAUCCUCUGAUUCUUCUCUUCCAUUUGAUUCUUGAACAAGCUCGAAGGUUAUUGAAAUACUUGAUUUGAUGACGCCAAUCCAAGGGACUUAAGUCGUGAUUUUGGAUUGAACGUUGAACUUGAUUUGAUUUGAGAAGAACGUCCUUAGAAUUUUGUAAGAACGCCUUGAAGCUUUCGAACUUGAUUUGAUUUGAUUUGAAGAACAUCGUUCUUGGAAUUUGUAAGAACGCCUUGAUCACUUGAAGAUUUGAAGGUUUGAUCACUUGAAGAUACUUGAAGAAUACUUGAAGAUUUGAAUGCUCAAAUACUUGAAGAUUCGAAGAAGACUUGAACGCUUGAAGAUUUCGAAGGAUACUUGAAGAUUUGAAUGCUCAAAUACUUGAAGAUUCGAAGAAGACUUGAACGCUAGAUAGAAUUCUUCAAGAUACUUGAAUACUUGGAAGAAUACUUGAACUCUCCAAUUCUUCGCCUCUUUCAACUUGCGAUACUAGAGAGAAUUCUUUAUA